CCUACGGGGGGCUGCAGUAAGGAAUAUUGGUCAAUGGGCGCAAGCCUGAACCAGCCAUGCCGCGUGAAGGAUGACGGCCCUAUGGGUUGUAAACUUCUUUUGUACGGGAAAAAACCACCGGUCGUGAAUCGGUGCUGAUGGUACCGUAAGAAUAAGCAUCGGCUAACUCCGUGCCAGCAGCCGCGGUAAUACGGAGGAUGCAAGCGCAAUGCGGAUUCAUUGGGUUCAGAGGGAACAAUAAGGGAAUAAUGAAAGCCUACAGCUUAACUGUAGAACUGCCAUUGAUACUGUUAUUCUUGAGUGUUGUUGAGGUAGGCGGAAUGUGUCAUGUAGCGGUGAAAUGCUUAGAUAUGACACAGAACACCGAUCGCGAAGGCAGCUUACCAAGCAACAACUGACGCUCAUGCACGAAAGCGUGGGGAUCAAACAGGAUUAGAUACCCCUGUAGUC
rnacentral:rRNA from 1 species